CAGCCAAAUGAGGUACACUAGAUGCAGGGGGGUAACCGCUAGUGGAAAUGGACAAUAAACUAGAAAGUAGUGUACCUAUAGACAGGGAGAAAAUAGCAUAUGCCUGUACUUCAUAAUAAAUAAUUAAAGGUAUGAAGAUAGAAGGCACAGAUAAAAAGACCAAAAGGUCAAAAAACAAAAAAAAAUGAUUGUAUAUUCAAUAGUGUCAAAAAAAAAAUGGAAUAAAAACAGAGAUUCGAACACUCCUUGAAAGGACUCUCUCUUUGAAACAUGGAUGAAACGCGCGCGUCAGGGGCUUUUAGGGCUUUAUACAUGCCAUCUUAUUAUACAACGACAACUACUCUGAGUGUCUUCCUGUAAUUUAGUCUAUUUUUCAGCUUGGUUAGACAUAGGUGCUCUCAAAGGCAC